CUAAGGAGGAGUGACUUGGGUAGCUUAGGGAGAGGAUCAGACCGUUGAGAGGAUAAGGGAACGCGGUGCCAGGCUGGAACAGGCUGGAAAGCUGAAGCACCUUUAGUCCAAGAUGCCAUAAGCGUGUGAGCCAUCCUGACCAAUCAUUCAAAAGGCGCCCUUGACUCCACACGGUUGAAUAGUGCUCAGUUCCCUUCUUGUAAACCCUGGUGUCUCUCUUAUAAAUAUGUAACCUCACUCAUUAAUAAGAUUAAGCAAGUUUUGAGACUCUCUCUUAGUCUUUAAAUCUCAAUGGUUCCAUAUUAGACUCCUAAUCUCAUUUCAUACUCUAAUCUUCACUAAAUCGUUUCUAGUCUUUCCUAAACACU
rnacentral:lncRNA from 1 species